rnacentral:rRNA from 1 species
UACGAAGGGGGCUAGCGUUGCUCGGAAUGACGUGGGCGUAAAGGGCGCGUAGGCGGCUUGGCAAGUGGAAGGUGAAAUCCCUCGGCUUAACCGAGGAACUGCCCUCCAAACUGCUUGGCUUGAGACCGGGAGAGGUGAGUGGAAUUCCCAGUGUAGCGGUGAAAUGCGUAGAUAUUGGGAGGAACACCAGUGGCGAAGGCGGCUCACUGGACCGGUACUGACGCUGAGACGGCGAAAAGCGUGGGGAGCAAACAGG